rnacentral:rRNA from 1 species
UGAGUACGAGCGGCUACGGCCGCGAAGUGGAUGAUGUCAAGCUUCCAAGAAAAGCCCUAUACCCGUUAAGGCAUGAUGGCCUGUACCCGAAACCGACACAGGUGGGGUGGUAGAGAAUACCGAGGGGCGCGAGGUAACUCUCUCUAAGGAACUCGGCAAAAUGGCCCCGUAACUUCGGGAGAAGGGGUGCCACCGCGAGGUGGUCGCAGUGAAGAGGCCCAGGCGACUGUUUACCAAAAACACAGGUCUCCGCUAAGUCGCAAGACGAUGUAUGGGGGCUGACGCCUGCCCAGUGCCGGAAGGUUAAGGAAGCUGGUCAGCGCAAGCGAAGCUGGCGACUGAAGCCCCGGUGAACGGCGGCCGUAACGAUAACGGUCCUAAGGUAGCGAAAUUCCUUGUCGGGUAAGUUCCGACCCGCACGAAAGGCGUAACGAUCUGGGCGCUGUCUCGGAGAGAGGCUCGGCGAAAUAGAAUUGUCUGUGAAGAUGCGGACUACGUGCACCCGGACAGAAAGACCCUAUGAAGCUUUACUGUAGCUUGGUAUUGUGCUCGGGCUCGGAAUGCGCAGGAUAGGUAGGAGGCUUUGAUCCAUUGCUUGCGGGUGAUGGUGAGCCACUGGUGAGAUACCACUCUUUCCGAGCUAGAGUUCUAACAGCAACCCGUUAUCCGGGUGCUGGACAGUAUCAGGUGGGCAGUUUGACUGGGGCGGUCGCCUCCUAAAAGGUAACGGAGGCGCGCAAAGGUCUGCUCAGGCUGGUUGGAAAUCAGCCGACGAGUGUAAAAGCAGAAGCAGGCUUGACUGUGAGACCUACAAGUCGAACAGGGAGGAAACUCGGCUUUAGUGAUCCGACGGUUCUGCGUGGAAGGGCCGUCGCUCAACGGAUAAAAGUUACUCUAGGAUAACAGGCUGAUCUCCCCCAAGAGUUCACAUCGACGGGGAGGUUUGGCACCUCGGUGUCGGCUCAUCGCAACCUGGGGCUGAAGUCGGUCCCAAGGGUUGGGCUGUUCGCCCAUUAAAGCGGUACGCGAGCUGGGUUCAGAACGUCGUGAGACAGUUCGGUCCAUAUCCGGUGCACGCGCAGGAAUAUUGAGAGGAUUUCUCCCUAGUACGAGAGGACCGGGAGGAACGCACCUCUGGUGUGCCAGUUAUCGUGCCAACGGUAAACGCUGGGUAGCCAUGUGCGGAGUGGAUAACCGCUGAAAGCAUCUAAGUGGGAAGCCCACCUCAAGAUGAGUAUUCCCAUGGCAUAAGCCAGUAAGGUCACGGGAAGAACACCCGUUGAUAGGCUCUACGUGGAAGCGCAGUAAUGUGUGAAGCGGAGGAGUACUAAUAGACCGAGGGCUUGAC